CCUACGGGAGGCUGCAGUGGGGAAUUUUGCGCAAUGCUCGUAAGAGUGACGCAGCGACGCCGCGUGAAUGACGAAGGCCUUCGGGUCGUAAAGUUCUUUCGACAGGGAAGAAAAUGCCUAUAAGUAACUGUGUAUGUAUUGACGGUACCUGUAUAAGCAGCCCCGGCUAACUCCGUGCCAGCAGCCGCGGUAAUACGGGGGGGGCGAGCGUUGUUCGAGGGGACUGGGCGUAAAGAGCACGUAGGCGGUGUUGUAAGUCAUUAGUCAAAGACUAGAGCUCAACUUUAGUAAGGCUAGUGAUACUAUAAUACUAGAGUAUCAGAGAGGAAUGCAGAAUUCCUGGUGUAGCGGUGAAAUGCGUAGAUAUCAGGAGGAAUACCGUUAGCGAAGGCGGCAAUCUGGCUGGAAACUGACGCUGAGGUGCGAAAGCGUGGGUAGCAAACAGGAUUAGAUACCCUUGUAGUC
rnacentral:rRNA from 1 species